GACGUAGGGCGCGAGCGUUGUCCGGAUUUAUUGGGCGUAAAGAGCUCGUAGGCGGCUUGUCGCGUCGAAUGUGAAAACUCGGGGCUCAACCCCGCGCUUGCAUUCGAUACGGGCAGACUAGAGUGUGGUAGGGGAGACUGGAAUUCCGUGGUGAUAGCGGUGAAAUGCGCAGAUAUCAGGAGGAACACCGAUGGCGAAGGCAGGUCUCUGGGCCACUACUGACGCUGGAGAAGCGAAAGCAUGGGGAGCGAACAGG
rnacentral:rRNA from 1 species